GGUUAAGCGACUAAGCGUACACGGUGGAUGCCCUGGCAGUCAGAGGCGAUGAAGGACGUGCUAAUCUGCGAAAAGCGUCGGUAAGGUGAUAUGAACCGUUAUAACCGGCGAUGUCCGAAUGGGGAAACCCAGUGCAAUUCGUUGCACUAUCGUUAACUGAAUACAUAGGUUAACGAGGCGAACCGGGGGAACUGAAACAUCUAAGUACCCCGAGGAAAAGAAAUCAACCGAGAUUCCCCCAGUAGCGGCGAGCGAACGGGGAGCAGCCCAGAGUCUGAAUCAGCUUGUGUGUUAGUGGAACGGUCUGGAAAGUCCGACGGUACAGGGUGAUAGUCCCGUACACCAAAAUGCACAGGCUGUGAACUCGAAGAGUAGGGCGGGACACGUGGUAUCCUGUCUGAAUAUGGGGGGACCAUCCUCCAAGGCUAAAUACUCCUGACUGACCGAUAGUGAACCAGUACCGUGAGGGAAAGGCGAAAAGAACCCCGGCGAGGGGAGUGAAAAAGAACCUGAAACCGUGUACGUACAAGCAGUGGGAGCACCUUCGGGUGUGACUGCGUACCUUUUGUAUAAUGGGUCAGCGACUUAUAUUCUGUAGCAAGGUUAACCGUAUAGGGGAGCCGCAGGGAAACCGAGUCUUAACUGGGCGUUAAGUUGCAGGGUAUAGACCCGAAACCCGGUGAUCUAGCCAUGGGCAGGUUGAAGGUUGGGUAACACUAACUGGAGGACCGAACCGACUAAUGUUGAAAAAUUAGCGGAUGACUUGUGGCUGGGGGUGAAAGGCCAAUCAAACCGGGAGAUAGCUGGUUCUCCCCGAAAGCUAUUUAGGUAGCGCCUCGUGAAUUCAUCUUCGGGGGUAGAGCACUGUUUCGGCUAGGGGGUCAUCCCGACUUACCAACCCGAUGCAAACUACGAAUACCGAAGAAUGUUAUCACGGGAGACACACGGCGGGUGCUAACGUCCGUCGUGAAGAGGGAAACAACCCAGACCGCCAGCUAAGGUCCCAAAGUCAUGGUUAAGUGGGAAACGAUGUGGGAAGGCACAGACAGCCAGGAUGUUGGCUUAGAAGCAGCCAUCAUUUAAAGAAAGCGUAAUAGCUCACUGGUCGAGUCGGCCUGCGCGGAAGAUGUAACGGGGCUAAACCAUGCACCGAAGCUGCGGCAGCGACACUAUGUGUUGUUGGGUAGGGGAGCGUUCUGUAAGCCUGCGAAGGUGACCUGUGAGGGUUGCUGGAGGUAUCAGAAGUGCGAAUGCUGACAUAAGUAACGAUAAAGCGGGUGAAAAGCCCGCUCGCCGGAAGACCAAGGGUUCCUGUCCAACGUUAAUCGGGGCAGGGUGAGUCGACCCCUAAGGCGAGGCCGAAAGGCGUAGUCGAUGGGAAACAGGUUAAUAUUCCUGUACUUGGUGUUACUGCGAAGGGGGGACGGAGAAGGCUAUGUUAGCCGGGCGACGGUUGUCCCGGUUUAAGCAUGUAGGCUGGUUAUCCAGGCAAAUCCGGAUAAUCAAGGCUGAGGUGUGAUGACGAGGCACUACGGUGCUGAAGUAACAAAUGCCCUGCUUCCAGGAAAAGCCUCUAAGCAUCAGGUAACAUAAAUCGUACCCCAAACCGACACAGGUGGUCAGGUAGAGAAUACCAAGGCGCUUGAGAGAACUCGGGUGAAGGAACUAGGCAAAAUGGUGCCGUAACUUCGGGAGAAGGCACGCUGGUGUGUAGGUGAAGUCCCUGCGGAUGGAGCUGAGACCAGUCGAAGAUACCAGCUGGCUGCAACUGUUUAUUAAAAACACAGCACUGUGCAAACACGAAAGUGGACGUAUACGGUGUGACGCCUGCCCGGUGCCGGAAGGUUAAUUGAUGGGGUUAUCCGUAAGGAGAAGCUCUUGAUCGAAGCCCCGGUAAACGGCGGCCGUAACUAUAACGGUCCUAAGGUAGCGAAAUUCCUUGUCGGGUAAGUUCCGACCUGCACGAAUGGCGUAAUGAUGGCCAGGCUGUCUCCACCCGAGACUCAGUGAAAUUGAACUCGCUGUGAAGAUGCAGUGUACCCGCGGCAAGACGGAAAGACCCCGUGAACCUUUACUAUAGCUUGACACUGAACAUUGAGCCUUGAUGUGUAGGAUAGGUGGGAGGCUUUGAAGCGUGGACGCCAGUCUGCGUGGAGCCAACCUUGAAAUACCACCCUUUAAUGUUUGAUGUUCUAACGUUGGCCCCUUACCGGGGUUGCGGACAGUGUCUGGUGGGUAGUUUGACUGGGGCGGUCUCCUCCCAAAGCGUAACGGAGGAGCACGAAGGUUAGCUAAUCCUGGUCGGACAUCAGGAGGUUAGUGCAAUGGCAUAAGCUAGCUUGACUGCGAGCGUGACGGCGCGAGCAGGUGCGAAAGCAGGUCAUAGUGAUCCGGUGGUUCUGAAUGGAAGGGCCAUCGCUCAACGGAUAAAAGGUACUCCGGGGAUAACAGGCUGAUACCGCCCAAGAGUUCAUAUCGACGGCGGUGUUUGGCACCUCGAUGUCGGCUCAUCACAUCCUGGGGCUGAAGUAGGUCCCAAGGGUAUGGCUGUUCGCCAUUUAAAGUGGUACGCGAGCUGGGUUUAGAACGUCGUGAGACAGUUCGGUCCCUAUCUGCCGUGGGCGCUGGAGAAUUGAGGGGGGCUGCUCCUAGUACGAGAGGACCGGAGUGGACGCAUCACUGGUGUUCGGGUUGUCAUGCCAAUGGCACUGCCCGGUAGCUAAAUGCGGAAGAGAUAAGUGCUGAAAGCAUCUAAGCACGAAACUUGCCCCGAGAUGAGUUCUCCCUGAGACUUUAAGUCUCCUGAAGGAACGUUGAAGACGACGACGUUGAUAGGCCGGGUGUGUAAGCGCAGCGAUGCGUUGAGCUAACCGGUACUAAUGAACCGUGAGGCUUAACCUU
rnacentral:rRNA from 1 species